rnacentral:rRNA from 1 species
GACGUAAGUGGCAAGCGUUGUUCGGAAUCACUGGGCAUAAAGGGCGCGUAGGCGGCCGGAUCAGUCAGGGGUGAAAGCCCUCGGCUCAACCGAGGAACAGCCCUUGAUACUGUCCGGCUCGAGGGUGAGAGAGGAGUGCGGAACUCUUGGUGGAGCGGUGAAAUGCGUAGAUAUCAAGAGGAACGCCGGUGGCGAAAGCGGCACUCUGGCUCACUUCUGACGCUGAGGCGCGAAAGCUAGGGGAGCAAACGGG